GUGGUAUGAGAAGAUUCGAUCCUCACCCUCUCCACUCAGGCCAGAUAUUCGGGAUGCUGAUCGGGCUGACAUUCGGGCUCGGGCUCGGGCUGGGUCCGAGCCGGGCCAAAGAUAAGCUCGAGUCUGGUCCGAAAGACAAAUGGACCCUAUAUUUAAGUCUAAACCCGGUCUGAACUGUUUCGGACCUAGUCCGAAGUCCGACCCAAAGUCGGCCCGGCUCGAUGGGCUUCGGACCAGCCUAA
rnacentral:lncRNA from 1 species